rnacentral:rRNA from 1 species
UACAGAGGUCUCAAGCGUUGUUCGGAUUCAUUGGGCGUAAAGGGUGUGUAGGUGGCGCGCUAAGUCGGGUGUGAAAUUUCGGAGCUUAACUCCGAAACUGCAUUCGAUACUGGCGUGCUUGAGGACUGGAGAGGAGACUGGAAUUCAUGGUGUAGCAGUGAAAUGCGUAGAGAUCAUGAGGAAGACCAGUGGCGAAGGCGGGUCUCUGGACAGUUCCUGACACUGAGACACGAAGGCCAGGGGAGCAAACGGGAU